GGAGAGGAGUGGCAUUAACACCAUCCUUCAUGAACUUAAUCCACUGUUCACCAUAAACGUGACGAUGAGGGACAUAAAAAGUAAAAAUGUCUACAGUAGAGUCAAUAGCAAGGCCACGACGCAAUGGAGAAAGACGGAGAGCGCCAACGGCGUCCAUCUCGAAGGAGUCGCCAGCGAUAACCGGAGUAGUUGAAAUGGUAAUAAGACGACCAAUCUGACCA
rnacentral:rRNA from 1 species